UUUCAAAACUCUUGCUGGGUUUUGCCUAAGAUUCGAAGCCUAAAGCUCUGAAUUCUGACCUCCCUGAUUACUGACUGAGGAAACAAUAUCCCCAAAAUGGAAAGCUCCAGGUCUGUGUGCUUAGAUUUAGGCUCCAAGGACUGAACACCCUGCAUGUAAGGUGUGUGUCUAAGCAGUAUUUAUGACAUAACAAACCAGCCAAGAGCUGGAGGUUCUGAUCAGCAAAUAAGGAAGGAACAACAUCUGACAUCUUUACCCACUUUAACUGUGAGUAUAUGAAAUCUAGGCAACAAAAUAAAUAGAACAGAGACUGGAAGACGUGAUGCUUCCUGGGAGAACAUGUGCCCGUAAGGAUCGAUCUCAUGGGAUUCUUAGCAUCAAGCAAAGAACUUGUAAUACGCUGAAUGCUGCAUAGAAGGUUUUGAAACUACUUACCUGCUGUGGAACACCUGUAUAACUUUAAAAUGCAUCAAUCAAUCUCGAGAGUAUGAUCAUGCUUCCUGCUUUUAAGGAUCUGAAGUUAACUGCAACUCCAAGUAUACAAGACUUCUUUGGGACCCAUGGAAGCAUCUCUACAUGCUCAUGUUUGCCAGAUUCAGUGGCCUCCUGAAACCUGGCCCUAGCUAAUAAGUUAAAAAGCUCUAAGUAAUCCCGAGCUGCAUUUGAAUCUCCAAGAUCACUUGUUCAUGGGUUGGUAAUACUUUAAAGAGCCAUUUGUUUAACUGCUAAUCUGGAUCUUAUAUUCUGAGCCCCAGCUUUUUUCUAAAGCAAAGAAAAUACAAAAUAAAAGUAAGACCAAAUGCCUUUGUACCAUGGAGAGAGAAAUGACUCAUUGGAAUGCUUCUGUUUUUCAUCACAUCAAAGAUGCAUCAACAUAAAUCAACCAUUAUAUCAUGCACCAUGAUAAAAAAGGGGGAUAAAAGUCCCCAAACCACUGCCAAUUAAACCAACACAGUGCCUUUGUAUUAUUCAGAAUUUUUAUCUUAGCCUUAUUGAAAGAGCUUUUUUAGAACAUAUUUAAACAAUUCUGUCAUAUUUCAUUCUUGCAUACUCAUUAAAAAGGAAAAUAUGAGAGAUACAAAUGAAAGGUUUCCAAAAGUUUCCUCUCAUUCAGAAUCCAAUUCUUCAGAAUUAUUUUGCAACCCAGACUCUUUGAUGUCCUCGUUUUCCCACCAAAUAUGUUAUCAAGAGCAUGGUAGGGCAGAGUUUCUUAGAAGAAGGCAAUGUUAUUGUCAUUGAACACUGGCACUCAUCCUACAAGUUUUGAUUUUGGCCUCUUUUUUUCUGUGGGGUGGGGGGCAGGGUCUCGCUCUGUUGCCCAGGCUGGAGUGCAGUGGCACAGUCAUGGAUCACUGCAGCCUUGGCCUCCUGGGCUCAAGUCGUCCUCCCACCUCAGCCUCCCAAGUAGCUGAGACCGCAAGUGUGUGCUAUGUUUUUAUUUUUUUACUUUUAUUUUUUUAAUUUUAUUUAUUUACUGUUUAUUUAUUUAUUUAUUUUUGAGACAGGGUCUCACUCUGUCACCCAGGCUGGAGUGCACUGGUGUGAUCUGGGCUCACUGCAACCUCCACCUCCUGGGUUCAAGCAUUUCUCCUGCCUCAACCUCCUGAGUAGCUGGGAGUACAGGAUUGCACCACCAUGCCCAGCUAAUUUUUGUAUUUCAGUAGAGACAGGAUUUCACCAUGUUGGCCAGGCUGGUCUCGAACUCCUAGCCUCAAGUGAUCCGCGCACCUUGGACUCCCAAAGUUCUGGGAUUACAGGCGUGAACCACCAGGCCCGCCCUAAUUUUUUCAUUUUUUUUAUAGAAAUGGGGUCUCACUGUGUUGCCUAAGCUGGUCU
rnacentral:lncRNA from 10 species